UACGUAGGUGGCGAGCGUUGUCCGGAAUUACUGGGUGUAAAGCGCGCGUAGGCGGGAGGCCAAGUCCGCUGUGAAAUCGCCCGGCUCAACUGGGCGCGGUCGGUGGAAACUGGUCACCUGGAGGACGGUAGAGGCGAGUGGAAUUCCCGGUGUAGUGGUGAAAUGCGUAGAGAUCGGGAGGAACACCAGUGGCGAAGGCGGCUCGCUGGGCCGGCCCUGACGCUGAGGCGGCGAAGGCGUGGGGAGCGAACGGG
rnacentral:rRNA from 1 species